AUUGAACGCUGGCGGCAGGCUUAACACAUGCAAGUCGAGCGAGCGGCGGACGGGUGAGUAAUGUCUGGGACACUGCCUGAUGGAGGGGGAUAACUACUGGAAACGGUAGCUAAGACCGCAUACCAUCAGAUGUGCCCAGAUGGGAUUAGCUAGUAGGUGGGGUAAUGGCUCACCUAGGCGAAGAUCCCUCGCUGGUCUGUGGGGAUGACCGGCCACUCUGGACCUGAGACACGGUCCAAGCUCCUACGUGAGGCAGCAGUGGGGAAUAUUGCCCAAGGGGCGCAAGCCUGAUGCAGCCAUGCCGCGUGUGUGAAGAAGGCCUUCGGGUUGUAAAGCAAUUUCAGCGGGGAGGCGUUACUCGCAGAAGAAGCACCGGCUAACUCCGUGCCAGCAGCCGCGGUAAUAC
rnacentral:rRNA from 1 species